CUCCUCCUCCUCCUCCUGGCAGCCCUCCCAGGGCUGUGGGCGGCCGUGCAGCUGGUCGAGUCCGGAGGGGGCCUCCAGCCACCCGGGGGGUCCCUCACCCUCCUCUGCAAGGCCUCCGGCUUCACCUUCAGCAGCUACGGCAUGGGUUGGGUGCGACAGGCGCCCGGGAAGGGGCUCGAGUUCGUCGCGAGUAUUAACAGUGGUGGUAGCAGCACAGGCUACGCGUCGGCGGUCAAAGGGCGCUUCACCAUCUCCAAGGACAACUCCCAGAGCACGCUCAAGCUGCAGAUGAACAGCCUCAGGGCCGACGACACGGCCACCUACUACUGCACAAAAGGUGGUGGUGCUGGUGGUUCUGGUGGUUGGAGUUGUGGUGGGCAGCUGGUCGAGUCCGGAGGGGGCCUCCAGCCACCCGGGGGGUCCCUCACCCUCCUCUGCAAGGCCUCCGGCUUCACCUUCAGCAGCUACAACAUGAUGUGGGUGCGACAGGCGCCCGGGAAGGGUCUCAAGCCAGUCGCAUAUAUUAACAGUGGUGGUAGUUACACAAACUACGCGUCGGCGGUGCAAGGGCGCUUCACCAUCUCCAGGGACAACUCCCAGAGCACGCUCAAGCUGCAGAUGAACAGCCUCAGGGCCGACGACACGGCCACCUACUACUGCGCGAAAACAUCGGGUCCGCCUCACCGUGCUAAUGUUGGUGGUAUCGACGCGUGGGGCAGCGGGACCAUCGUGACCGUCUCCUCCGAGUCCCCCCGCGCCCCCAGCCUCUUCCCGUUGGUUUCCUGCGCCUCCCCCGUCACCCAAGACCUCUACUCGGUUGGGUGCGCCGCUUUGGAUUUCCUUCCCGACCACCUCGACAUUUCCUGGAGCAACUCGCUUCGCCGCAACAUCACCGACGGCGUCCGGAUUUUUCCCGUCGUUCCCGUUUCCGGCCGUUACUCGGCCGCCACCAGCCUCACUCUCCCCUUGGUGGAAGGGAAAAGCCAACAACCGUUCUACUGCCGCGUCGCCCACCGCCAAGGGACGGCCACCAUCGCCGUCAGCAACCACGACCCCGUCCACCAGGUCCCCCUCGUCACCCUUCACCCUCCAUCCCGGGAAGAUUUCGAAGGUCCCUACCGCAAUUCCAGCCUCCUCUGUCAAAUUCGGGGGCCGCGAGAGGUGGCUUCCAUCCGGUGGUUGAAAAACGGGGUUCACCUCCAAGACGGGGUCACCACCGAAACCGCCGCCCUGGAGGGCAAAGGCGUUUACGUCACCGACAGCCGCGUCAUCGUCACCGAAAGCGAGUGGGACGCCGGGACGGUUUACACCUGCCAGGUGGAGGAGGAGUUGAGGAACACCAGCAAAGCUCUGGAGUGCGGUUACAACCGGCCGGAUGGAGGCGAAGAAAUCGCCGUGCGGGUCGUCCCUCCCGUUUUCGCCGAUAUCUUCAAAGAUAAGGUGGCCAAGUUGACGUGCAAGGUGGCCAACUUGCCCACCGUCGACGGUUUGGUCAUCUCCUGGUGGAAGGAGAACGGCGAGAAGUUGGAAACCAAGACGUCGGCACGCGUCCUGCAACCCAACAGCCUCUACGGCGUCGACGGCGUGGCCAGCGUUUGCGCCGACGAGUGGGACAAGGGCGAGGUCUACACCUGCAAGGUCACCCACCCCGAGCUCCUCUUCCCGACCGAGGUCAAGUUGCAGAAGACCAUGGGUCGCGACGCCAAACCUCCUUCCGUCUACGUCCUCCCGCCUCCGCCCGACCAAAUCGCCGCCGGCGAAAGCGUCACCGUCACCUGCCUGGCCAAAGGCUUCAACCCCCCCGACCUCUUCGUCCGUUGGCUCCGUAACGGCGAACCGUUAGCGGCGAGCGAUUACAUCACCUUCGACCCGGUGGCCGAAGGGAAAAGCGUCACCUCUUACAUCAUCUACAGCUCGUUAAGCGUCACCGGAGACGAUUGGGCGGCCGGGAACGUUUUUACGUGUUUGGUGGGGCACGAGCAAAUCCCGUUGCAGGUGGCGCAAAAAUCCGUGGAUAAAUCUUCCGGUAAACCAACGGCCGUCAACGUGUCGCUGGUGCUGUCCGACACCGCCGCCGCUUGUUAUUAACCCCUCGUUAACGACCCGCUAAUUAUUAAUUUUUUUUUUUUUUUUGGUCAGUUUUUUGCAUUUUUUUCCCAAUUUUUUUUUUUUUUUUUUUUUUUGGGGGGGGGGGGGAGUUUAAAAUCAUCGAUUCGGAAAUUUCGGAGCAAAUUUUUUUGCCGGCUUCUCUCGGCCCCCCAGGAAAAAAAAAAAAAAAAAAAAAAGUAGCAAAUUUUGGCGCGAAAGAGCAAUAAAAAUUGGUUUUUAGAA